UACUCAUGGUUAAGCGUUUCUUUUUUUUUUUUUUUUUCUUACAAAUAAGUUUCACAAAUCGAGAAAAUGGCGCAAACAGGAAACGGUCGAUGCGCACGGAUAAAUACACGGAGACGUAGACGGAGACAUACUCGAUCAUGUACAGCACAUUAGACGCGAUAGAUAGAUUACGGCGCGGCGGCCGCUAGCUCAUUUUGCAGAGUGCCGGAGAGGUGCGUGCGCGCACAACCGUACACACGUGUAUACACAUACAUACUCGUUUGCUGUGCUCAUAAGAGAACGUGUGCGCGGAACAUUACGAGCGCACACACGCGAAGAGGAACAAAGAAAAAGCCCUAGCGACCAGCAAUGCGGCAACGGUGAGCGCCUGCGCGCCACGCUAUGUGAGUCAAGGACGACACGUGCGGCUCGAAACGACCUACUUAUAUCCCCGUUGCUUCGUGCGCGAUCGGCUUGCCACACGAACCUUUCCGAACGUAGAAAUAGGACGUCCAAGUCGAGUUCCAAUGUUCCACCAAGCCACCCCCUUCCCUUCCCAAUACGCCAGCUUCGUUAAUCGACUAACCGCUAUACACGCAGCACCGUUCUUUCACGUUUUAAUACUUCGAUCGCAACGAACGUUUCAAUUCCACCAUUUUUCUUCAUCUUUUCUUUAUUUCAUCUCGAAACGUCGGUUAAGAAUUUCCAUUUUUUUUUUUCACUUCUCCCGCGUUUUUACGCGUGUCGUGUAACGCGCUACCAUUAUCUUUUUUGUUUUGUUUCAUUGUUGUAUCGAUAAAUGAACGUCAUCGGUUUUCCGAUCCUCGAUCCUAUUGAAGAGAAUAUUCACGAUGAGAAUAAAAACGAUAGGAACGUUUUCCAGGAACGUCGUGUGAUUACGUAACGUUAAUGUUAAUCGUGUGCGCGUUAAAUCGUCGCGUAAAACUCCGAAAUUGGUGUACGAAUUAUACGAUCGACCACUUUACAAUCGGACUUGAAAAGACAAAGAGAAAAUGAACAGUGCGACAAGACAACGGAUUGUAUUCAGCUUCGUUACGAGGUCACCGCGGAAGUUUCGAAUAUUUGGAGAACCGAAUCUUGAUGGUCGGAGGCUACUGCGAAAGCUGGAUAAUCGAUAGAAAAAUGGGUCAACGAUUUGGUGGCGCUUUCAACCAAGAGGGGUUGGCUGACCUCCAUCCCCCGUGUUCGCAUUCGAGAACACCACCAGGAUGGCCCUUUGGACCCGUACCAUCGAGGUCUAAAGGCGGUGGGUAUAAAGGCUGUCUUGAUUCGUCGGUUUUCUUCCCACCGGCAGCAUAAGUAGCGCGUUUCCGCGCGGGUUGUGGCCAGUUCCUGUUCGUCCGUCAUACGACCGUAGCGAAGCGCGGGCGUGUGGAAUCUUCCAACACACGUACAUGCAAAUAUACGUGGAUGUUGGUGUGCAGAAAAGCUCGCGAGUAGCGUGUAUGCAUACACGUGUGUAGAUCAGACAUAUGGAUGUGUGGUACGCAGUGUCCUCGUCUGAAUAUCAUUUGUGUAAGAUCGAGAGUGGCCUCGUGUGGUUCUUACGUGUAUGUGGUAGUGAGUCCCAUGGAUAGUGAACGCCGCGGGAAUUCUUGGUGUGCAAUCGGCCAAUCGUAGGCCAAGUAGCAACGGCUGUGCACCAAUCAGCUAGCAGAAAUCCUCGCGAAUGCGCGCCACAGUUGCCACCGGAUGCCGAUCAUACUUGGUAGUGGGGAUAGACUGAGAGUGCGGCACAGGCUACGUGCUCGAGCGCAUCCUCGUUCGUCGCUGCUCGCCGUCGGAGUCGGUCGUGUUUCACGCUUUAGUCUUCUCACUACUAGUUUUCCGAAGUGGAAGAGAAGAACUUGUUCGCCAGUCUCGAACGUCUUUGUUCAGUUACGAUCAAGCCAUCGUUCUGUGUUGCCUUAUCAUUUUUGGAGCUAAGAGAUACGCAAUUACCACCAUGAAUCGUGUUACCACUCGUGUCGGGUAUCGGUCUGAAUCGUACUGUGCCGUGGCGCGCGGUCGCGCGGUUCGCAAUUUGCGUGCGUGGCGUGGCUUUGAGACCAAACAUAACCGGAAAUGAGCACCAACCAUUAAAUGUUCGAUUGUGGUAUGACAGGUUUUUUCAAUCGUUCAUUGUGCAUUUUGUUUUUCAUUUGCUUAGAAGUUUGUAAAACGAGUGAUUACAAUUUCGCGCAAUUUACUACGACUAUAAUAUUCGAGUUUAUAUUAAUAAUUUUUCGACGAUUUUAGUAUGUUGUAAUUUUAUAGUAAAAUUAUUGUUACACUCUUACAGUGAGAAUUGCAAUUGCCAGCGCGGCACAAUCGGCUCCGAAAGAUAUCUCUAAGCAGUUGAUCGUGAAAAUCUUGAAUAAAAAGAAAUAAAGAAAUCAUGCGGGAA